rnacentral:rRNA from 1 species
ACAUUACCUUCGGAGAAAGCCACGACUAACUAUGUGCCAGCAGUCGCGGUAAGACAUAGGUGGCGAACGUUAUCCGGAUUUAUUGGGCGUAAAGGAUGCGUAGAUGGUGGAAUAAGUUAUUGGUCGAGGUCAAGCUCAACUUGGCGGAAGCUGAUAAUACUGUUCUACUUGAGGACAGGAGAGGUUGGCGGAAUUCUGUGUGGAGCGGUGAAAUGCGUUGAUCUACAGAGGAACACCAAAAAGGGCGAAGGCAGCCAACUAUUCUGAUCCUGACAUUGAGGCAUGAAAGCGUGGGGAGCAAACCGGAUUAGAUACCCGGGUAGUCCACGCCCUAAACGAUGAGCAUUAGACAUUAGGUGUUAUGCUUAGUGUCGCAGCUAACGCUUUAAAUGCUCCGCCUGGGUACUACGGUCGCAAGGCUAAAACUCAAAGGAAUUGACGGGGACUCGCACAAGCGGUGGAGCAUGUGGUUUAAUUCGAUACAACGCGCAGAACCUUACCAAGGCUUGACAUGAAGGGCAAUGUUGAGGAAACUCAACGGAGGUUAUCCCGACACAGGUGGUGCAUGGUCGUCGUCAGUUCGUGCUGUGAAGCGUAUGCUUAAGUGCUAGAACGAACGCAACCCUCAUAUUCAGUUGCUACCAUUUAGUUGAGAACUCUGAAUAGACUGCCAGGGUAACCUGGAGGAAGGAGAGGAUGACGUCUGAUCAUCAUGCCCCUUAUGCCUUGGGCUACACACGUGCUACAAUGGUUAGGACAAAGAGUUGCUAACCUGUAAAGGAAAGCCAAUCUCAAAAAACUAACCUUAGUUCGGAUUGAGGUCUGCAACUCGACCUCAUGAAGUAGGAAUCGCUAGUAAUCGUGAAUCAGCAAUGUCACGGUGAAUACGUUCUCGAGUCUUGUACACACCGCCCGUCAAAUCACGAAAGUCGGUAAUGCCUGAAACCAACUAACUAACCCGCAAGGGAGGUAGUUGACAAGGGUAGGAUUGGCAAUUGGGGUUAAGUCGUAACAA